UUCAAGUGCUGGUAGGGAUGGAGUUUGUUGUCUCUAGAUAAUAAUUGAGUUAUUCAGAUUAAUUUGUUUAAUUAAAAUGCCUCAAUCUCCUUUUCUUACUAAAAUAUAAAUUUUCGUCUACGAGAAGGAUGAUUGUGGACUGCUGUUGCCAAUGGUUACUAAAACUGUUUACAUUACUUGCAAAUGGAUAAUAUAAUAUGAAGAGAAUAAUAUAGUAUAUUAUAUGACUUGAUUAGAACCUGUCAAAAAUUCAGUUUCUUAAAUAGUAAAAAUUACUAUGAAAUACUAGUAAUAUAUUUAUUAAUCUUGGGAUAAUUAAAGAUAUUUUUCUUUUCCUAAUAAAAAAGAAAUAAAGAUCAGAACUCCUCUCCAUCAUUAGGU